GGCUAGCUGGCGCAAUGGUAGCGCGUUGGACUCCAGAUCUAGAGGUUAGAGGUUCGACUCCUCUGCUGGUCA